UACGAAGGGUGCAAACGUUGCUCGGAAUCAUUGGGCGUAAAGCGCACGUAGGCGGCCUUGCAAGUCGGAUGUGAAAUCCCACGGCUCAACCGUGGACGUGCAUCCGAAACUGCUCGGCUCGAGUAUGGAAGAGGGUCGCGGAAUUCCCGGUGUAGAGGUGAAAUUCGUAGAUAUCGGGAGGAACACCAGUGGCGAAGGCGGCGACCUGGGCCACUACUGACGCUGAGGAACGAAAGCUAGGGGAGCAAACAGG
rnacentral:rRNA from 1 species